GACGAAGGAUGCAAGCGUUAUCCGGAUUCAUUGGGUUUAAAGGGAGCGUAGGCGGACUUGUAAGUCAGUGGUGAAAUCUGUGGGCUUAACCCACAAACUGCCAUUGAUACUGCAGGUCUAGAGUACAGUUGCCGUUGGCGGAAUAUGACAUGUAGUGGUGAAAUACUUAGAUAUGUCAUAGAACACCGAUUGCGAAGGCAGCUAACGAAGCUGUAACUGACGCUGAGGCUCGAAAGUGCGGGGAGCAAACAGG
rnacentral:rRNA from 1 species